rnacentral:rRNA from 1 species
GGUAAUACUGGAUGACAUCUUCGGAUCAAAGGUGAGAUUCCGCCCUUGGAUCGGACCGCGUACUAUUAGCUUGUUGGUGGGGUAAUGGCUCACCAAGGCUGCGAUGGUUACCGGGUGUGAGAGCAUGGCCCAGCUCACUGGGACUGAGACACUGCCCAGACACCUACGGGUGGCUGCAGUCGAGAAUCUUCGGCAAUGGACGAAAGUCUGACCGAGCGACGCCGCGUGCGGGAUGAAGGCCCUCGGGUUGUAAACCGCUGUCAGUUGGGAGGAAAGGUCUGUGCAGAGCAGACCCUGACCGAUCUUCAGAGGAAGGACGGGCUAAGUUCGUGCCAGCAGCCGCGGUAAGACGAACCGUCCAAACGUUAUUCGGUAUCACUGGGCUUAAAGCGUGCGUAGGCGGCCAGGUAGGUGAGAUGUGAAAGCCCACGGCUCAACCGUGGAAUUGCGUUUCAAACCCUCUGGCUUGAGGGAGACAGGGGUGUUGGGAACUUAUGGUGGAGCGGUGAAAUGCGUUGAUAUCAUAGGGAACACCGGUGGCGAAGGCGCAACACUGGGUCUUUUCUGACGCUGAGGCACGAAAGCUAGGGUAGCGAACGGGAUUAGAUACCCCGGUAGUCCUAGCCGUAAACGAUGAGCACUGGGUUGAGGGGACUUCCACAUCCUCUCGGCUGUAGCGAAAGCGUUAAGUGCUCCGCCUGGGGAGUAUGGUCGCAAGGCUGAAACUUAAAGGAAUUGACGGAGGCCCGCACAAGCGGAGGAGCAUGUGGUUUAAUUCGAUGAUGCGCGAGGAACCUUACCUGGGCUUAAAUGUAUAUUGACGUACUGAGAAAUCAGUAUUUCUUCGGACAAUUUACAAGGUGCUGCAUGGUUGUCGUCAGCUCGUGCCGUGAGGUGUCGGGUUAAGUCCCAUAACGAGCGCAACCCCUACUUCUAGUUACCAGCAUUUCGGAUGGGGACUCUAGAGGAACUGCCUACGCAAGUAGAGAGGAAGGUGGGGAUGACGUCAAAUCAGCACGGCCCUUAUGUCCAGGGCUACACACGUGCUACAAUGGCCGGUACAGAGGGCAGCUACAUAGCAAUAUGAUGCUAAUCUCAAAAGCCGGUCUUAGUCCGGAUUGGAGUCUGCAACUCGACUCCAUGAAGCUGGAUUCGCUAGUAAUCGCACAUCAGCAAUGGUGCGGUGAAUACGUUCCCGGGCAUUGUACACACCGCCCGUCAAGCCAUGGAAGUUGGGGGUACCUGAAGUCGAUUGCCGUAAGGCGUUGCCUAGGGUAAACCAAUGACUGGGGCUAAGUCG